rnacentral:rRNA from 1 species
AGAGUUUGAUCCUGGCUCAGGACGAACGCUAGCGGUGCGCCUAAUGCAUGCAAGUCGAACGAUCCUUCCGGGCUUGCUCGGGAGGAUAGUGGCGGACGGCUGAGUAACACGUAAGUGACCUACCCUGAAGAGGGGGAUAAUCUUGAGAAAUCGGGCCUAAUACCCCGUACGUUCCUCAGGCUGCGGUCUGAGGAGGAAAGGGUUCCGUCUUAUGGCGGGGCCGCUUCAGGACGGGCUUGCGACUUAUCAGGUAGUUGGUGGGGUAAUGGCCCACCAAGCCAAAGACGGGUAGCCGGUGUGAGAGCAUGAUCGGCCAGAGGGGGACUGAGACACGGCCCCCACUCCUAUGGGAGGCAGCAGCAGGGAAUCUUGCGCAAUGGGCGAAAGCCUGACGCAGCGACACCGCGUGGGGGAAGAAGGCUUUCGGGUUGUAAGCCCCUUUUCUCGGGGAAGAGAACGGACGGUACCCGAGGAAUAAGGUUCGGCUAACUACGUGCCAGCAGCCGCGGUAAAACGUAGGAACCGAGCGUUGUCCGGAUUUACUGGGCGUAAAGGGCGCGUAGGCGGCUUGUUAAGUCUCAUGUGAAAUCUCCCGGCUCAACUGGGAGCGGUCAUGGGAUACUGGCAGGCUUGAGGGCAGUAGAGGAAA